UACGGAAGGCAGCAGUGGGGAAUAUUGCACAAUGGGCGCAAGCCUGAUGCAGCCAUGCCGCGUGUAUGAAGAAGGCCUUCGGGUUGUAAAGUACUUUCAGCGGGGAGGAAGGCGGUGAAGUUAAUAGCUUCACCGAUUGACGUUACCCGCAGAAGAAGCACCGGCUAACUCCGUGCCAGCAGCCGCGGUAAUACGGAGGGUGCAAGCGUUAAUCGGAAUUACUGGGCGUAAAGCGCACGCAGGCGGUCUGUCAAGUCGGAUGUGAAAUCCCCCGGGCUUAACCUGGGAACUGCAUUCGAAACUGGCAGGCUAGAGUCUUGUAGAGGGGGUAGAAUUCCAGGUGUAGCGGUGAAAUGCGUAGAGAUCUGGAGGAAUACCGGUGGCGAAGGCGGCCCCUGGGACAAAGCUGACGCUCAGGUGCGAAAGCGUGGGGAGCAAACGAGGAUUAGGAUAC
rnacentral:rRNA from 1 species